rnacentral:rRNA from 1 species
UAAACAUCGAUGAUAUAUUACACCCAUCAUCCGCCCGGGAACUACGAGCAUUAGCUUAAAACCCAAAGGACUUGGCGGUGCUUAAGAUCCACCUAGAGGAGCCUGUUCUAGAACCGAUAACCCCCGUUCAACCUCACCCUUUCUUGUUUUCCCCGCCUAUAUACCGCCGUCGUCAGCUUACCCUGUGAAGGUUCCAUAGUAAGCAAAAUUGGUACAACCCAAAACGUCAGGUCAAGGUGUAGCGAAUGAAAGGGGAAGAAAUGGGCUACAUUCUCUAAUAUAGUGAAUACGGAUAAUGUAUUGAAACAUACAAUUGAAGGAGGAUUUAGCAGUAAGCAGAAAAUAGAGCGUUCUACUGAAAUUGGCCCUAAAGCGCGCACACACCGCCCGUCACUCUCCCCAAGCAACAAGACUAACAUAAAUAAUUCAACAAAACCGCAAAGGGGAGGCAAGUCGUAACAUGGUAAGUGUACCGGAAGGUGCACUUGGAAAAAU